rnacentral:rRNA from 1 species
GAUGAACGCUGGCGGCGUGCCUAACACAUGCAAGUCGAGCGGAUGAACGAGACUUUCUCUUCUAUGCUGUUAGGGGCGGGCGGGUGAGUCACACGUGUAUACCUUACCUUUAGGACUGAGAUACCUUCGCGAACCCGAAUAUCACACAGGUCAUGAUUUAGAACCUCAGGGUUCAAAGGAACAAGAGCUUUCAGCUGAGCCUAAAUCAGGUUACCGCGCUGGAUUGGCUAGUUGGUAGGGUAACGGCUUACCAAGGCUACUAUGCAUAGCCGACCUGAGAGGUUGAUCAGCCACACUGUAACUGAGACACGGUCCAGACUCCUACGGGAGGCAGCAGUAGGGAAUAUUCCGCAAUGGGCGAAAGCCUGACGGAGCAACGCCGCGUGAGUGAUGAAGGUCUUCGGAUCGUAAAACUCUGUUAUUAGGGAAGAACGUAUGUGUGUGUAACUGUGCACAUCUUGACGGUACCUAAUCAAAAAGCCACGGCUAACUACGUG